UUGGCUGGGAAUAAAAAAGUUUUUUUUUAUUUUAAUUUUUUGUUUUUCUCUCUCGUCUCUCUCUAUCUGUAUCUCUCCCUAUUUUACGAUUGUUUCAUCGGCAAAACUUUCGGAAAUGUUCUGUCAAAUUGAACAGUCAGAAAUCUUUAAGAUUCUCCGGUGGUUAGAUUCUGAAUUUGCGCGGACGGAAUCGACUGACUUUGCGGUUGCAUGUGGGGGCGGCGGGGUUGAUCACCAACGCUGACUCGUUUGAGACGAUCAUGGGACUAGCCAUGAUCAGCGGAUCUUUGUGGUUCGCGGAUUGUCAAGCGGAAAUUUUUCAGUGAUGAGAGUCACAAGAACAAGUGUUAAUCUCUCUGGAGUUUUAUGAAUUUUGUUGCGAAAGAUUAUGUUUGUCUGCCUCCACUCUUUAUCAACGUUAGCGCUUUCAACUUUGGCUAUAUCCAUGAUCAAACUCAUUUUGAUUUUGAUAUCCUGCACUUUCUGCAGGUUCCAUUUGUCAUUUGUCAUUGUUGAAAAGGAUCAUUACAGUUUCCUAAUAAAAUUCUUAACUUAACUUUU